GGCCAGACUCCUACGGGAGGCAGCAGCGGGGAAUAUUGCACAAUGGGGGAAACCCUGAUGCAGCGACGCCGCGUGAGCGAUGAAGUAUUUCGGUAUGUAAAGCUCUAUCAGCAGGGAAGAAAAUGACGGUACCUGACUAAGAAGCCCCGGCUAACUACGUGCCAGCAGCCGCGGUAAUACGUAGGGGGCAAGCGUUAUCCGGAUUUACUGGGUGUAAAGGGAGCGUAGACGGCUGUGCAAGCCAGAUGUGAAAGCCCGGGGCUCAACCCCGGGACUGCAUUUGGAACUGUGUGGCUGGAGUGUCGGAGAGGCAGGCGGAAUUCCUAGUGUAGCGGUGAAAUGCGUAGAUAUCAGGAGGAACACCGGUGGCGAAGGCGGCCUGCUGGACUGCAACUGACGCUGAGGCGCGAAAGCGUGGGGAGCAAACAGGAUUAGAUACCCCUGUAU
rnacentral:rRNA from 1 species